rnacentral:rRNA from 1 species
GAAGAAAGAGGGAGGAGUGAUUAACACAUGCAAGUCGAACGCUGAAGCUCAGCUUUUGUUGGGUGGAUGAGUGGCGAACGGGUGAGUAACACGUGAGUAACCUGCCUCCUUCUUUGGGAUAACGCCCGGAAACGGGUGCUAAUACUGGAUAUUCACUGGUCUUCGCAUGGGGGUUGGUGGAAAGGGUUUUUCUGGUGGGGGAUGGGCUCGCGGCCUAUCAGCUUGUUGGUGGGGUGAUGGCCUACCAAGGCUUUGACGGGUAGCCGGCCUGAGAGGGUGACCGGUCACAUUGGGACUGAGAUACGGCCCAGACUCCUACGGGAGGCAGCAGUGGGGAAUAUUGCACAAUGGGCGCAAGCCUGAUGCAGCGACGCCGCGUGAGGGAUGGAGGCCUUCGGGUUGUGAACCUCUUUCGCUCAUGGUCAAGCCGCAACAAUGGUUGUGGUGAGGGUAGUGGGUAAAGAAGCGCCGGCUAACUACGUG